AGCGAACGCUGGCGGCAGGCCUAACACAUGCGAGUCGAACGAACCUUUCGGGGUUAGUGGCGGACGGGUGAGUAACACGUGGGAACGUGCCUUUAGGUUCGGAAUAACUCAGGGAAACUUGUGCUAAUACCGAAUGUGCCCUUCGGGGGAAAGAUUUAUCGCCUUUAGAGCGGCCCGCGUCUGAUUAGCUAGUUGGUUGAGGUAAUGGCUCACCAAGGCGACGAUCAGUAGCUGGUCUGAGAGGAUGAUCAGCCACAUUGGGACUGAGACACGGCCCAAACUCCUACGGUAGGCAGCAGUGGGGAAUCUUGCGCAAUGGGCGAAAGCCUGACGCAGCCAUGCCGCGUGAAUGAUGAAGGUCUUAGGAUUGUAAAAUUCUUUCACCGGGGACGAUAAUGACGGUACCCGGAGAAGAAGCCCCGGCUAACUUCGUG
rnacentral:rRNA from 1 species